ACGAGCACUGACCGUCCAAUCCUUAAAUUUCUUGUCUAUAUCCGAAUACCUUAUAUUAGAAAUCUUAAAUCCAUAUAAAAGCAUGCAAAGAUAAAAAAAUCACAUAUUACAUAGAUCAUCUAUCCUAGUCCUCGCUGGAGAUGUCGAUUAUCUUUGUGUCCGACUCCGGGUACAUUGGUGACAACUGUAGCUCAGGCUCCUGCAACUCCUCCGGCUCCUCGGCAUCGACCUUCACAUCCAUAUACGUGUCGAGUUCGGCGAAAAAAAGCAUCCGUCGCCCGCUCCUGUUGGAUGAAGCGGCGGUUGGCCUUCACAUAGGACUCAUCAUGGAUGGACUCCAUGAUGACAUGCUGCUUCGCCAUCUCCUGCGCUUGAGCGACGACGAACCC
rnacentral:lncRNA from 1 species